rnacentral:rRNA from 1 species
AACGAACGCUGGCGGCAUGCCUAACACAUGCAAGUCGAACGAGACCUUCGGGUCUAGUGGCGCACGGGUGCGUAACGCGUGGGAAUCUGCCCUUCGGUUGGGAAUAACUGAGAGAAAUUUCAGCUAAUACCUUAUAAUGUCUUCGGACCAAAGAUUUAUCGCCGAGGGAUGAGCCCGCGUAGGAUUAGGUAGUUGGUGGGGUAAUGGCCUACCAAGCCGACGAUCCUUAGCUGGUCUGAGAGGAUGAUCAGCCACACUGGGACUGAGACACGGCCCAGACUCCGACGGGGGGCAGCAGUGGGGAAUAUUGGACAAUGGGCGAAAGCCUGAUCCAGCAAUGCCGCGUGAGUGAGGAAGGCGUUAGGGUUGUAAAGCUCUUUUAGCCGGGAUGAGAAUGACAGUACCGGGAGAAUAAGCACCGGCUAACUACGUG